AGUAUGUCCAAAUCACCGACCGUCCCUAAAGCAAGUGGCAAAGGACUUGGUGAUUGGUAUCCGAGACCCAAGUUCAAAUUCUAGUUGAUUCACAUUUCCAGCUAAAUUUAUUUCUAAAUAAAAUAAACGAAGCGGGUAGCGUGUUAUCUAUCUCUCUCCAAAAAAAAAAAAAAAAUUCCCUAUUUCGAGAAAAUCUACUGUAUCAUACUUACACAACAUCAUCAAUAACUAAUCAAUCAUAUCUUUUCUUUUGAGAGAAAAGCACAAUAAAAAUAUUUUUCUAGUAACCACAAUGAAAUCUGUGAAUCCAAAAAAAAAAUCUCAUU
rnacentral:lncRNA from 1 species